rnacentral:rRNA from 1 species
AAGUUGACCUCAAAUCAGUAGAUCCA